rnacentral:rRNA from 1 species
CUCGUCCGCUCUGGGUUAGUCGGGUCCUAAGCUGAGGCCGACAGGCGUAGGCGAUGGAUAACAGGUUGAUAUUCCUGUACCACCUAUAAUCGUUUUAAUCGAUGGGGGGACGCAGUAGGAUAGGCGAAGCGUGCGAUUGGAUUGCACGUCUAAGCAGUAAGGCUGAGUAUUAGGCAAAUCCGGUACUCGUUAAGGCUAAGCUGUGAUGGGGAGAAGACAUUGUGUCUUCGAGUCGUUGAUUUCACACUGCCGAGAAAAGCCUCUAGAUAGAAAAUAGGUGCCCGUACCGCAAACCGACACAGGUAGUCAAGAUGAGAAUUCUAAGGUGAGCGAGCGAACUCUCGUUAAGGAACUCGGCAAAAUGACCCCGUAACUUCGGGAGAAGGGGUGCUCUUUAGGGUUAACGCCCAGAAGAGCCGCAGUGAAUAGGCCCAAGCGACUGUUUAUCAAAAACACAGGUCUCUGCUAAACCGUAAGGUGAUGUAUAGGGGCUGACGCCUGCCCGGUGCUGGAAGGUUAAGAGGAGUGGUUAGCUUCUGCGAAGCUACGAAUCGAAGCCCCAGUAAACGGCGGCCGUAACUAUAACGGUCCUAAGGUAGCGAAAUUCCUUGUCGGGUAAGUUCCGACCCGCACGAAAGGCGUAACGAUUUGGGCACUGUCUCAACGAGAGACUCGGUGAAAUCAUAGUACCUGUGAAGAUGCAGGUUACCCGCGAAAGGACGGAAAGACCCCGUGGAGCUUUACUGUAGCCUGAUAUUGAAAUUCGGCACAGCUUGUACAGGAUAGGUAGGAGCCUUUGAAACGUGAGCGCUAGCUUACGUGGAGGCGCUGGUGGGAUACUACCCUAGCUGUGUUGGCUUUCUAACCCGCACCACUUAUCGUGGUGGGAGACAGUGUCAGGCGGGCAGUUUGACUGGGGCGGUCGCCUCCUAAAAGGUAACGGAGGCGCUCAAAGGUUCCCUCAGAAUGGUUGGAAAUCAUUCAUAGAGUGUAAAGGCAUAAGGGAGCUUGACUGCGAGACCUACAAGUCGAGCAGGGUCGAAAGACGGACUUAGUGAUCCGGUGGUUCCGCAUGGAAGGGCCAUCGCUCAACGGAUAAAAGCUACCCCGGGGAUAACAGGCUUAUCUCCCCCAAGAGUUCACAUCGACGGGGAGGUUUGGCACCUCGAUGUCGGCUCAUCGCAUCCUGGGGCUGUAGUCGGUCCCAAGGGUUGGGCUGUUCGCCCAUUAAAGCGGUACGCGAGCUGGGUUCAGAACGUCGUGAGACAGUUCGGUCCCUAUCCGUCGUGGGCGUAGGAAAUUUGAGAGGAGCUGUCCUUAGUACGAGAGGACCGGGAUGGACAUACCUCUGGUGUACCAGUUGUCGUGCCAACGGCAUAGCUGGGUAGCUAUGUGUGGACGGGAUAAGUGCUGAAAGCAUCUAAGCAUGAAGCCCCCCUCAAGAUGAGAUUUCCCAACUUCGGUUAUAAGAUCCCUCAAAGAUGAUGAGGUUAAUAGGUUCGAGGUGGAAGCAUGGUGACAUGUGGAGCUGACGAAUACUAAUCGAUCGAAGACUUAAUCAA